rnacentral:lncRNA from 1 species
UUUUUUUUUUUUUUUUUUUUUGCUGUAUUUGUGUGUACACAUAUAUGUAUAUAAUAUGUGAAAAACAGAAUUAUGUCAUAUAAACAUUUGUGUAGCCUACUUUUAAAAAUGCAACAGCAUAAUGGCAACUAAACUUUUUUCUAUCUCAGGAAAUACAGCUUGAAGGACUACUGUGCAAACCCUGAAACCAAUAAAGUAACGAUUGUUUCCAAAUUUUGUUAAACAGCAUUGUGAUAAACAUACUUCUGCCUCUUAAACAACAUGAUAAACAUCUCUGUAGGUAAAUCAUUGUUAUCCAGUUCUUGUUCUGCAUAAAAUCCAGUUUGCAUGAUGAACAACAGAGCAUCCAAAAAAGCAAUUGCCAGUGUCCAGAAUAAAAUGAAAACUUAGUAGCAUAUCUCAAUAGGAAAAAAAUUCAGUAGGAUAGAGAGAGAUGCCAAAGUCAAUGUAUAAACAAAGACUUGAAAUUUAAAAGAAGACUUUGGGGAGUUUUCGUUGUGGCUCAGUGGAAACGAGCCCACCUAGUAUUCAUGAGAAUGCAGGUUCGAUCCCUAGCCUUGCUCAGUGGGUUAAGGAUCUGGCAUUGCCAUGACCUGUGGUGUAGGUUGCAGACAUAGCUCGAAUCCCAUGUUGUUGUGGCUGUGGCAUAGGCCGGCAGCUGUAGCUCCUGUUCGACCCCUGACCAGGGAACUUCCAUAUGCCUCAGGUGUGGUCCUAAAAAGCAAAAUAAAUAAAUAAAAAAUAAAAGAAGACUUCAUGAUAAACCUUAAGCUACAUAGCAGGAGAGUAAAAAUGAUUAUAGCCCUUUAAGGAAGCAAUUUGGCAGCAUGCAGAAAGAGCCUAAAAAUUUCAUAUGCCAAAAUAUGAAAAAAUGAUUUACUUGGAUCAGUGUUGUGGGUUGUCUUUUUUCCUUUUGUCUGAUGUUCAAUAUGUUCCAUAUCUUCUAUGUUGAUUAAUUAGUUUUAUGGUGGGAAAGAUAAACGAGUUGUGAUUAAAAAUGAGUAACACCAUAUUNAUAAACUUGAAUUGUGAUUAAAAAUGAGUAACACCAUAUUUGGUUUUCGAUAAUAAUACUACCUGACUCUAAUAUUUAUGGUAAUUGUGGGACUUUAACUAUAAGAACAAAUGACAUCGAGGAAGGAUAUUAGUAGGAUUUUUCUGGAUUGCAGAAUUUGCAGUUGACUGUUCUCAUUCUCUCUUUUUCUUGUCAACUUUUCUACCUUUACCAGUUUAAAAAAAAGUCAUUUAUUUAUGAAUCUUCUAUAAAUACCUUUACUUAUGAAAUACAAACAAAACAAUAAUAAAAGACCUUGUUCUUCUGUCUAACCUUCUAAAAUGUUAAUUGAUUGGCAUUAAACUUGAUUCUCAUUUCUGAUUGGGCUUCCUCUAGUUUCUUGUAAGUCUUGGAAUUUCCACUGAAACUCCUAAUUGCCAAUAUGUUUAGCUGUGUUUUUAGAAGAAAUAUUCUUAUUUGGUAAGAUUUAGAUUAUAGCAGUUAAGGUGUCUGUAGAAGCUCAGCCUAUGUGCCCACAUUUUUAAAUGUUUGUUCUGUUUGGUUGAUUCAUUGCAAUUCAAAUAUAUUGAGUUUGAGUUAUAUUUGAUACCUGAGGCUCUGGCUGCAGUCUCAUCCCCUUCUUCCCUGACCUCUCUACCAUUGACCCCAUCUACCCUUAUCCCAGGGUGACACUCAGCCCAUAUAGCUGAAUUGUAGCAGGAAGCAUUUUGCUUGGUUUCUAGCUGCCUAUUUUUUUUUUUUUUUGAGCCCCUAGAGCUGCAAUAAAACUAUCCUAGAGCCCUCCUAUGAAGCAUUUUUGUUUCACUGAAAUCUAUGAAAACAUUAUUAGAAUUCUGUGAAUUAAGUAUUCUCUGACUUUCUAAGUCAGCUUGAUUUCAACAGUGCCUUCUAGGUUUUAGCAGCUUGCUUUGUUGAUCCACAUUUUCUUAGGAGAGGGGGCUGCACACCUGCAGUUCUUCCAAAGGGCCUUCUUGCACUGAAUUCUUUUUAAGGGAGUUUCCUGUAACUUUCUGCUCAAUAAAAAGUAUAUGUUUUAAGAAAGAAAACUUCAUUUUACCAUAUGAAAAAUGAUUAAUAAUAAUAAAAGUAACAAACUUUGCCUGCCAUUUUGGUUGUGGUGACAGAGGGAGAAAUAAGACAAACGGCCCUUAAAAACAUUUGCCUAAAAGUAUCAUACAUGUGAUACUUUUGGUCAAAGCAAGUGAAAUGGUCACUUAAAGCUGAGUGGAAAUAUAUAGCAAGGAUAUAAAAGAAUGUUAAAUAUUUAUGAAUACUUUGAUGCAUAUGAUCAGCUGAUUAAUUUAAGUAAAAUUGAGUACUUACUGCUUGCUGUUCACUGUUGUAUUACCAUGCCUGCAAUAUGUACAAAAUAGACUAGAUCUCAGAUCUUCUGAAGCCAACAUUCUUAUGAUAGCCCUAUUUUGGAAAUAAACUUCUCAGAAUUAUCAAAAAUUUUCAUCAUGCUUAUGUCUUUUGGCUCCAUAAUUUCACUUCUGGAUUCUACACUAAGGUGAUAGUCUUAAAUAAAAAUUUGUGUAAUGAUAAAUAUUGUAGCUUUGUAAUAUUGAAAAAUUAGCAACCAAUGUCCAGUAAGGAAACAGUGAACUUUUAUGAACUUAGAGAAUAUUAUGCACUCAUCAGUUUGUAUUGAAAACAGUUGUUACAUUUUUAGUGGCAAUUUAGUGACCAUUUUAGCAUCCUGUGAUGAAAUAAAGGUAAUAUAAUUCAUUCUGGGCUUAAGAUGUCCCCAAAUAUGGGUUUAUGUACAGAGGUAUUAGGAGGAUUGAGAGAAACUAGAAGUUUGGAAUUCUGAUAGCAUAACAAGUCAUUCAAAUAGUCAUACCUUGAAGGUAACUGGAAAUAGGGAAUCAGAGAUUGGUUGGAGAUUAGGGCUGAAAACAUUGUUUGUUGAUUAAUUAGUAUAUAAAUGUUAGUUGAACUUGGUAGAUGAGCUACACAAGGAAUGAAUUAAGAGGAAGAAGAAUACAGGCAGAGAAUCAAAGGGGGAUGGUGGUGGCAGAAAGUGUGAAAAGUACCCUGAAGAAAGUGAUGAACAGAACAGAGGGACUGGAGAAUUAGGAAACAGUGCAGUUUUGGGAAAUUUUGAGGUAAGAGUUUUUAAAAGGGAAAGAGAGCUGAGAGGUAGAGGGAGAAGAGAUGGGGUAAUUUCAUUGGUACUUUAAAAUGGGUUUUUUUUUUUUUGGUUAUUUAUUUGUUAAAAUAGAAACAUAUCAUAGAUAUUAUUGAUGGUAAUAAUACCUUUCCAUAAAAAUUGAUCAAAAUUUUUUGUCCAUAUUAAAACUACAUUUAUUAAAAGGCUCAAAUGAUAAAGCAGAAAUAAUUUGCAUCUUAAAUUGUACUCAUACAAAGGAAAUGUACUCAUGCAAGGAAAAUUCAUACAAAGCUUUAUGCUAACCAUGUAGUCAAAAAUGACUUUAUUUACUUACUGAAAAAUAAUUUAUGUCUUUGAAAUUGAAGCAGAUUAAGUUGCCUGAAAGAUUCAAAACAGAAGAAAAUAGGUUUUUUUUUUUUUUUGACUUUUUACGUCCCCAGGCUAGGGGUCUAAUUGGAGCUGCAGCCGCUGGCCUAAUGCCAGAGCCACAGCAACGCAGGAUCCUUAACCCACUGAGCCAGGCCAGGAAUCAAACCCAAAACCUCAUGGUUCCUAGUUGGAUUUAUUAACCACUGAGCCACGAAUGGGAACUCCAGAAAAUAGAUUUUAAAAAUCCUUUAGAUAAAACAUCUGGGGAGUAGGAUUCUAUUUAGCAACUCAGGGAUUUACAUGGUAUAUCUUGAAGCAACUGAAGGACAUGGUGGCCAUUUUUCAUAUGUCACAGUAUUUUGUAUAUUUGCUUUAAGGGACAAAUUAGUGACAUUUUAAGACUUACAAUAACUUCGUGAGAAGAACUAGGGCAUUUGCAACGGGAAAAGUGUAGUUUUGCCAUGUACCAAAAGGUAUGUUAUAAGCUAGUAAAAUGCAGCAGCAUCCUGUAUACAUGGAAGGGCUGCUGUGGCGGUUGUAUCCGUAUGGAUCUCUUUUAUAAUUCUCAAAACCUUCUAGUUUUGAGUGAGUACAGAGAGGGUCCUUAGGCAGGUGGUGCGGUUGGAAUACAUUUAAAUAUUUUGUUGAUGCUUUCUGUGUUCCUGUCCCGCUGUAGAAUCUAACAGCGAGGUUUCUGCAGUGUCCUCCUUUUCUUUCAACACAUUAUUAUUAUGAGAGACUCAGUAUUAAGUUAUAAUUAACAGGAUCUGACUGGGAUCACUGAUAAGGAUGUGGAAAGACUAUUAGGUUUUUAAUUAGGAAAAGACUUAGGUCAGCUCUAUUUCAGCUCAUUUUUGCAAAUGAAGAAUUUGAGACACAGGGUGAUUAACUGUUCUAGUCCUGCAAGAACUUGGCCACUGAACUGCCACUAUUAGGUAUUUCCACUAGUCUCUGCUAUACCUAAUUUUACACUAUCAGGGCUGAAAUGCCAGUGUAACCAGGUAGAGAAUUUUCUCAGGUAUAAGGGCUAACUUGCUGUUGAUAGAGUUUCAGUAACUGCGCAAGUCGGUUACCAAGUACCAUUUGUUAGGUGAGGUGAGAGAGGGAAGAAGGACAGCCCCUCAGGGAGUUCCCGUCCUGGCUCAGUGGUUAACGAAAUGGACUAGGAACCAUGAGGUAGCGGCUUCGAUCCCUGGCCCUGCCCGGUGGGUUGGGGAUUGGGGAUCCAGCGGUGCCAUGAGCUGUGGUGUAGGUCACAGAUGUGGCUCAGAUCACCGUUGCUGUGGCUCUGGUGUAGGCUGGCAGCUACAGCUCCGAUUAGACCCCUAGCCUGGGAACCUCCAUAUUGCCACGGAGCUGCUCAAGAAAUGGCAAAAAG